CAGAGAUGGCAGAAUAAAAGAAAACUGAGUAUUAGACAUCUGGUGAGCUGCAGGAAGGGUUGGGGGCGAGGCUGUGUUAUAUGGCUAAAAGUGUUUGCAAGACACUCCGCCAUGCCACUGGGAUCACUAACUGUUGACCCGUGCCCCAUCAGGACGUCAUUGUCUCCAGUCGUGUGGUCCAGUGAGUCACCGCUCUACCGCACGACAGUGACCCCAAGGAAGUCCCGGUCCACAGCAGGGAUGUGGCCACCCCUGGCCACAGCCCCAAGUGUUCCCUGGUGGGCCAUACUCACUGAGCUCCUCCUCCUCCUCCUCCUCCUCACCCUGCUGCCGUGGAAGGUGAGGGAGAGAGAGAGGGACUUUGAUCACUGUCUUCAACACCAAUAAUCAUAAUCUAUUUACCAAUGAGCUACAUGAAAUAAACCAGGAGGAACUACUAAAUCUAGAAAAUUCAAAUGAUAAUUUUAAUCUUUUCUAUGAAAGAGUUUAUGAA